rnacentral:lncRNA from 1 species
AGCUGGGAACAGAAGCUCUCCCAGAAGGCUCUUUAGACUUCUUUCCUCCUGGUUUGUUGGUGGGAUUCCGUAAGAGAAUAUAUGGAGAGCUCUGGGCUCAGCACGUGGCCCUCCUGUCCAGGGACAUCCCUUGGCCCUAAAGAGGAAGACUCCAGUCUCCAGUUCACACGUCCAGGACUGAUCUUACAUCUCUCUCUAGCUGCCUACAGGACAUUUCUGGAACACACACGUGCGGUUCCCCAAAUCCAAGACCAGCAGCGCACAGUUGCUUGCCUCGUGGACACGCACAUCCUUUGGUUCCUGCAAUUGAGG